CCUACGGGCGGCAGCAGUGGGGAAUAUUGCACAAUGGGGGAAACCCUGAUGCAGCAACGCCGCGUGAGUGAUGACUGCCCUCCGGUUUGUAAACUCCUUUUUUAAGGGAGUUAAUUGAGGUACGUGAGGCUUAAUCCACGGAUAACUUCGUGCCGGCAGCGGCGGCAAUGCGGAGGCAGCGAGCGUUGUCCGGAUUAACUGGGCGUAAAGGGAGCGUAGUCGGAUUGUUAAGUGAGAUGUGAAAUUCUCGGGCUCAACGUGAGUGCUGCAUUUCAUACUGGAAGUCUGGAGUGCAGGAGAGGAGAACGGAAUUCGUGGUGUAGCGGUGAAAUGCGUAGAGAUCAGGAAGAACACCGGUGGCGAAGGCGGUUCUCUGAACUGCAACUGACGUUGAGGCUCGAAAGCGUGGGGAGCAAACAGGAUUAGAUACCCUGGUAGUC
rnacentral:rRNA from 1 species